GAACGAAGGGAAGAAGAGAAAAAUCGUUUAUGCUAAUAAAGAUCUCUGCUUUUGGGAAAAAUGCAGUUAAAGGCGUAUGCUUGUCGGCAGGAAUUGAUUGGUGAAGAGAAAGGAAGAAAUUAUCGUUCUCUUCUAUAUUAUGCUAAAACUUGUCAGGCCCAAAACAUGAAGAGGACAACAAUUGGAGAGGGGUUGGCAGCAAAGGAAACUUGAUAAGUGCAACACAAGAUGUGCACUUGUGGUCUUUAGGGUCUAACCUAAUCCCAAUGGCGACAUAGGGUAUGACACAUGUCAUGUUUCUGAUGGCUAUAGUAUUUUAAAAGUCAGAGAUUGUUGGCUGCUACGUGUCAAAUAACUAGUGGUUAUUAAAGGUUGAGGAAACAGUUCACUGGAAGGAUAAGGUUGUGCCUUGUUUUAUCAGAAUCCUAUCCCAGGUAUCUAAAAAGUAUGUGACCUUUUCUGUCUGUAACUGUAACAGUGGCGUUAAAAUUCACCAGUUUUUCUAGUAGUGUUUAGCUUGUGAACCUUUCUUUUAUUCUGAAACUCUGUAGGUCUUACUCUUAUUUGUCAGGAUUGAAGCUUGAUGUGUGGCCUAUAUUGGUUAAUUGAGCAUGGUAUUAUAAUUUUAUUUAUCUUUGAGUAAAAAUGUAAUUACCGCAAGCAAGAUUACUGCUGUGAAUUAGCACAUCUUUGGAGUUCUGUAGAUGGAUUCCAUCUGUAUUAGGACUGUCACCAGGUGAUGAGAUGGUUAUAUCAUGUAUCACAACUCCAAUGCAGUUGUCGAACUUGAGGUGGCAUUGGGGACUGUUUUGAAUUGUAAUGCCCGUGACUGUUGCAUUGAAACUUCCAUAAAAUCUUAGUGCCUGUGAAAAGAGGAAAAAAUCAAUCAUGUUAUGUGGAUGAAUGGCUGUGAGCUGUAAUAGAAAUAUUCAAUGUUGAUCAGUGGUCCUUACUGUGGGCUUGAUGCUUGGCAUCUUCUUACCGAGUUCACUUCUUACCUGCCACACAAUUUGGAAAAGAAGCAUGAUCAGAUGUGGAUAAUAAAGGUUGUCUUGUAGUUGAAGUACAAAGGAAGGAUCAUCCAGUGGAUAAUCUUCCCACCAUACUGAGCCACUCCCAUCAAUGGUGCCUGUUCCCUGAAUUGUAAUUCCUUUUAGCUUUGUGAAUUCGAUCCACCAUAGAAGACCUUUAGCCCAGACGUAGGAGUUUGUUGGAGCAAUAAUCUUGCCAUUCAGCUGAGAAAAUCUUAACUCAUCAGCCUACUUCAUUUCCAGUAUUUGCAAUUUUCUUCAGUAUAGAAUAUCUGUUGCUUGGACUAUUCAUUUUUUUUCCAUAAAACAUCACUCGAAUGCAAGGAAAUAUAAGUAGUCAAGCCGGACAAUUUAGCGUCCGAUAUUGAGCAACUUAAAUUGGAAUGCAUCUGCUUAUUAGUUUAUGGGAAUGUUUGUCACUUUACCUGAAAUACAAUGUUUGCUUGACAGUAUGGACCAGAGAAAGAAACAGGUCCCACAAGGAAUAUAUAUUCUGCUGGAACGAGCAUUGUUGAUGCCUCCACCUUACAAGCAGCUGCCCAUGCGGCUUGAAAUGCCUGUUAUGCACCAUAACACACCAUUCUUUACUGGGUAACAUUAACUAUCUACAAAGAAUUACUGUUAGUGUUGGUUUUUUCCAAACUGUACACAAUUAUUGUUGUGGCCGUAGACCAAACUGUCUUAACUAUAUAUAUAUAUAUAUAUGGCGUGGAGCCCACCUUCCUUAGGUUA